rnacentral:rRNA from 1 species
UUUGUUACUUCAAACCAAUCGGACUUCGGUCUGACAUCAAGUGAUAUUGAACAAUUUAGCUGAUCGCACGGUCUAAGAACCGGCGACAUAUCCUUCAAAUGUCUGCCUUAUCAACUUUCGAUGGUAGAUUAUGCGCCUACCAUGGUUGUAGCGGGUAACGGAGAAUCAGGGUUUGAUUCCGGAGAGGGAGCCUGAGAAACGGCUACCACAUCCAAGGAAGGCAGCAGGCACGCAAAUUACCCACUCCCGGCACGGGGAGGUAGUGACGAAAAAUAACAAGCUGGUCUCAAUGAGUUCCAGCAUUGUAAUGGGAACAAUUUAAAUCUUUUAUCGAGGAUCUAUUGGAGGGCAAGUCUGGUGCCAGCAGCCGCGGUAAUUCCAGCUCCAAUAGCGUAUACUAAAGUUGUUGCGGUUAAAAAGCUCGUAGUUGGAUCUAGGAUUAGGGCUACCGUCGUUCAGCUUGGACGUACUGUAUGCCCGACUCCUUUUCUCUAGUAUUCGAUUGUUGCUCUUAAAUGAGUGACUUUAGUUGCUGGAACUUUUACCUUGAAAAAAUUGAAGUGCUCAAAGCAGGUU